rnacentral:rRNA from 1 species
AGAAUUCAGUGAAUCAUCGAAUCUUUGAACGCACAUUGCGCCCGCCAGUAUUCUGGCGGGCAUGCCUGUUCGAGCGUCAUUUCAACCCUCAAGCUCAGCUUGGUGUUAGGGACUCGCGGUAACCCGCGUUCCCCAAAUCGAUUGGCGGUCACGUCAAGCUUCCAUAGCGUAGUAAUCAUACACCUCGUUACUGGUAAUCGUCGCGGCCACGCCG